AAAAAGUACUUUGAAUUCCACUUCUACUUUGAGACUUUUACAUUUGCUCCCAUUUUCCAAGCCAUCAAUUUAAGGAUUGAUUCUAUUUGUUUUACUUAAAAUACCUCUCAGCCAGAACUCCAUGUGCACCACUCAGAGGAAAUAGUCCAAAUUGUAUCAGUUUAUCCUGGUAAAGAGGAUAUUAGAGAACUGCUGCUCAGCACAAACCCAGCACGCACUUUGCUGAGUGAUAGGCCUAUUCAAUCACAAAUGGGUAACAAAGCCUAGGGAAAGACCUUCGAUCUUGAGAUUAUCAGAUAUAGAGAUGACAUUGUAACAAGAAGUAUGAGGCAAAAUACUGGGAAGUAUGCACUAAGAUAGGAAAGAUAGACGGAAAGGCAGAUGGAAAGACAAAAAAUAUAGGCAAAGGGCAGAGAUAAGAUCGCAGAUUAUGUGAAUAUUGGCAUCUCUCCAAACUGAAUCAAUUAACCACAGAUUCCUAAUGUUCUUUUUGCUGUGCAGAAUCCCUGCUGCAGAGGAUAACACCAACCUGUCAUGUUCACUCCUCUUCCACCAAACUCUUCUGAGGCCAGUUCUUCUUGAGAGCUGUCUCAUUGAGCACACAGCAGAAAAACAAACGUACUGUUGCUGGCCCAGGCUGGAAAACACAGAGUGUCUAGUAAUGCUGGCGAAGUAG
rnacentral:lncRNA from 1 species